rnacentral:rRNA from 2 species
UAUUACAAUGAAGAGUUUGAUCCUGGCUCAGGAUGAACGCUAGCUACAGGCUUAACACAUGCAAGUCGAGGGGCAGCAUGGUCUUAGCUUGCUAAGGCCGAUGGCGACCGGCGCACGGGUGAGUAACACGUAUCCAACCUGCCGUCUACUCUUGGACAGCCUUCUGAAAGGAAGAUUAAUACAAGAUGGCAUCAUGAGUCCGCAUGUUCACAUGAUUAAAGGUAUUCCGGUAGACGAUGGGGAUGCGUUCCAUUAGAUAGUAGGCGGGGUAACGGCCCACCUAGUCUUCGAUGGAUAGGGGUUCUGAGAGGAAGGUCCCCCACAUUGGAACUGAGACACGGUCCAAACUCCUACGGGAGGCAGCAGUGAGGAAUAUUGGUCAAUGGGCGAGAGCCUGAACCAGCCAAGUAGCGUGAAGGAUGACUGCCCUAUGGGUUGUAAACUUCUUUUAUAAAGGAAUAAAGUCGGGUAUGGAUACCCGUUUGCAUGUACUUUAUGAAUAAGGAUCGGCUAACUCCGUGCCAGCAGCCGCGGUAAUACGGAGGAUCCGAGCGUUAUCCGGAUUUAUUGGGUUUAAAGGGAGCGUAGAUGGAUGUUUAAGUCAGUUGUGAAAGUUUGCGGCUCAACCGUAAAAUUGCAGUUGAUACUGGAUAUCUUGAGUGCAGUUGAGGCAGGCGGAAUUCGUGGUGUAGCGGUGAAAUGCUUAGAUAUCACGAAGAACUCCGAUUGCGAAGGCAGCCUGCUAAGCUGCAACUGACAUUGAGGCUCGAAAGUGUGGGUAUCAAACAGGAUUAGAUACCCUGGUAGUCCACACGGUAAACGAUGAAUACUCGCUGUUUGCGAUAUACGGCAAGCGGCCAAGCGAAAGCGUUAAGUAUUCCACCUGGGGAGUACGCCGGCAACGGUGAAACUCAAAGGAAUUGACGGGGGCCCGCACAAGCGGAGGAACAUGUGGUUUAAUUCGAUGAUACGCGAGGAACCUUACCCGGGCUUAAAUUGCAGAUGAAUUACGGUGAAAGCCGUAAGCCGCAAGGCAUCUGUGAAGGUGCUGCAUGGUUGUCGUCAGCUCGUGCCGUGAGGUGUCGGCUUAAGUGCCAUAACGAGCGCAACCCUUGUUGUCAGUUACUAACAGGUCAUGCUGAGGACUCUGACAAGACUGCCAUCGUAAGAUGUGAGGAAGGUGGGGAUGACGUCAAAUCAGCACGGCCCUUACGUCCGGGGCUACACACGUGUUACAAUGGGGGGUACAGAGGGCCGCUACCACGCGAGUGGAUGCCAAUCCCCAAAACCUCUCUCAGUUCGGACUGGAGUCUGCAACCCGACUCCACGAAGCUGGAUUCGCUAGUAAUCGCGCAUCAGCCACGGCGCGGUGAAUACGUUCCCGGGCCUUGUACACACCGCCCGUCAAGCCAUGGGAGCCGGGGGUACCUGAAGUGCGUAACCGCGAGGAGCGCCCUAGGGUAAAACUGGUGACUGGGGCUAAGUCGUAACAAGGUAGCCGUACCGGAAGGUGCGGCUGGAACACCUCCUUUCU